GAGUAGCUGGGAGUACAGAUGCACACCACCACACCCAGCCUAGAAUGAAGAAACCUGCAGUUGGGAAGCAUGAAUUUACCACCUAUUAAGAAGUAGUCAUCAGGCAUGACCUCCCAUGGGUGCUCACAGAAGAUGGUGCCGUGCAUGUGCAGAACUUCCCAGGCCAAGAUCCACCACAUUGGACCCACUGAGUGAGCCCCCUUGUCAUUGCAUGAGAUGGUGAUGAUCACAUAGCGUAGAGGAGAGUAUGUGUGACACAGAGCAAUGGUAGUCAGUUUAACAUACGAUAGCCCUGUGAAAGGUGUGUGGUCAGCCCUGGGAUCAGUAACCAUCAGAAGACAUGGCUCCCAGAAGGCUACCUGGAUCUGGUUAGCAAAGGAACCAGAAAUAAGAGUGGCUCCAGUGGCAGCAGCAAACUUCAGCAUAGCCUGCUGGCUGACAUUCCUGGAGGAUGUGACACUGACAGCAGCUGAGUUUCCAAAUGGCAACAAUGGCACAAGCUGCCAGCCAAAGCUUCUUGCAGGUCCUCUUCAGAUUUAUCAUGUAGAUGCCAUCACUUUUCCUUUUGUAGUGUAUCAUUUGGAAGUCAAGGUGGGUGCCACCUAAGUGGAUUCCUGCUGGAAGGAAUGUGAGGACAUUCUCCUCCUUCAUCUUCAGGGCAUAAAGGGCUCCAAACAUUGUGAAAGUUUCUCUUUAAAUUACGACAUGCUGUAUGGAUCUCUGACUGGGGAACAUGGACAAGUACACUCAAAGUUUGAUUGCUAGUAUAGCUCACUCUUCUGUGGCUAGAAGUCCUGAAGAAUAAAACGUUAAGCAAGUUAUUAUGCUGACUACAACACCCAGGCUUAGGAACUAGUGAGCAUAAGACCUCAAAUUUCUUUCUGGCUCUCAUUAUGAAAGUCAUGAUUGUUUCCCUUGCAUCAUCCUCUGCAUGUGGCUUUUCAUCUUACAUUCUGGCUUUGCUCCAGGAGACACACUGCCUUAUGCCAGGGACCUGGUGGAAAGGUCACCCCCAGAAUGGACAGGCUGGGAAGAGCUCACUUAACAGUGCACUGGUUUACUGAGACAAUUCAAAACACACAUUCAUUUUGUGUGCUUAUGAAAUAUAUCCCAAGAAAAUGGAAACAACUCUGUCCUUGACCUUCAAAAAGAAAUUGACUUACCUAGCUUAACUAUUCAAACAAACAACUGUGUACUCUCUUCAAUUCCGAUGAUGAUUUUGAUUUACUGUAAAUGACUGAAUUUAAUGAACUAAAUUAUGCUAUUUAAAUGCAUUUUGUGAAUGGUAUUGUAGUUUGUUACAAAGCAUUAUGUCCAUGCUAAAUUGUGCUGUAAAUGAUAUGGUAUGGAACAUAUGUGCUGUAUUCAUAAUUUAACUGUUGCUGUGGAUUGCCUUCUUGGAUAGGACACAUUGAAAAAAGGAGCCUUUAUUUACCUGGUGAAAUGAAGGUGAUAUCUCAGCAAAUCACUAGGUCUUACUGACCUUGGCAGAAUUACAGUGCUAAUAUUUUCACAUGGAUGAACUGUUCUUAAACAAUUUCUCUAAUGUAUAUGGCAGAAAUCGGCUUUCCAUUAAAACUAGGUAUAUAUGG
ensembl:lncRNA LINC00466 long intergenic non-protein coding RNA 466